GACGAACGCUGGCGGCGUGCUUAACACAUGCAAGUCGAGCGGUAAGGCCCUUUCGGGGUACGACGAGCGGCGAACGGGUGAGUAACACGUGGGUGACCUGCCCUCAGCUCUGGGAUAAGCCUGGGAAACCGGGUCUAAUACUGGAUAUGACUCCAUGACGCAUGUUGUGGGGUGGAAAGCCUUGUGCGGCUGAGGAUGGGCCCGCGGCCUAUCAGCUUGUUGGUGGGGUGAUGGCCUACCAAGGCGACGACGGGUAGCCGGCCUGAGAGGCGACCGGCCACACUGGGACUGAGACACGGCCCAGACUCCUACGGGAGGCAGCAGUGGGGAAUCUUGCGCAAUGGGCGAAAGCCUGACGCAGCGACGCC
rnacentral:rRNA from 1 species